rnacentral:rRNA from 1 species
AGUGAACGCUGGCGGUAGGCCUAACACAUGCAAGUCGAACGGCAGCACAGUAAGAGCUUGCUCUUACGGGUGGCGAGUGGCGGACGGGUGAGGAAUACAUCGGAAUCUACUUUUUCGUGGGGGAUAACGUAGGGAAACUUACGCUAAUACCGCAUACGACCUACGGGUGAAAGCAGGGGAUCUUCGGACCUUGCGCGAUUGAAUGAGCCGAUGUCGGAUUAGCUAGUUGGCUGGGUAAAGGCCCACCAAGGCGACGAUCCGUAGCUGGUCUGAGAGGAUGAUCAGCCACACUGGAACUGAGACACGGUCCAGACUCCUACGGGAGGCAGCAGUGGGGAAUAUUGGACAAUGGGCGCAAGCCUGAUCCAGCCAUACCGCGUGGGUGAAGAAGGCCUUCGGGUUGUAAAGCCCUUUUGUUGGGAAAGAAAAGCAGCAGAUUAAUACCCCGCUGUUCUGACGGUACCCAAAGAAUAAGCACCGGCUAACUUCGUG